GACGUAGGUGACAAGCGUUGUCCGGAUUUACUGGGCGUAAAGAGCGCGCAGGCGGUCGUUCAAGUCGAGUGUGAAAGCCCCCGGCUCAACUGGGGAGGGUCACUCGAUACUGAUCGACUCGAAGGCAGGAGAGGGAAGUGGAAUUCCCGGUGUAGUGGUGAAAUGCGUAGAUAUCGGGAGGAACACCAGUGGCGAAGGCGACUUCCUGGCCUGUUCUUGACGCUGAGGCGCGAAAGCUAGGGGAGCAAACGGG
rnacentral:rRNA from 1 species